AAUAGAUACCCGGGUAGUCCACGCCGUAAACGAUGAGUGCUAAGUGUUAGGGGGUUUCCGCCCCUUAGUGCUGCAGCUAACGCAUUAAGCACUCCGCCUGGGGAGUACGGUCGCAAGACUGAAACUCAAAGGAAUUGACGGGGGCCCGCACAAGCGGUGGAGCAUGUGGUUUAAUUCGAAGCAACGCGAAGAACCUUACCAGGUCUUGACAUCCCAUUGACCACUAUGGAGACAUAGUUUUCCCUUCGGGGACAACGGUGACAGGUGGUGCAUGGUUGUCGUCAGCUCGUGUCGUGAGAUGUUGGGUUAAGUCCCGCAACGAGCGCAACCCUUGUUCUUAGUUGCCAUCAUUUAGUUGGGCACUCUAAGGAGACUGCCGGUGACAAACCGAAGGAAGGUGGGGAUGACGUCAAAUCAUCAUGCCCCUUAUGGCCUGGGCUACACACGUGCUACAAUGGACGGUACAAACGGUUGCCAACCCGCGAGGGGGAGCUAAUCCGAUAAAACCGUUCUCAGUUCGGAUUGUAGGCUGCAACUCGCCUACAUGAAGCC
rnacentral:rRNA from 1 species